rnacentral:rRNA from 1 species
CAGCAGCCGCGGGAAUACAGAUGGUGCGAGCGUUAAUCGGAUUUACUGGGCGUAAAGCGUGCGUAGGCGGCUUUUUAAGUCGGAUGUGAAAUCCCUGAGCUUAACUUAGGAAUUGCAUUCGAUACUGGGAAGCUAGAGUAUGGGAGAGGAUGGUAGAAUUCCAGGUGUAGCGGUGAAAUGCGUAGAGAUCUGGAGGAAUACCGAUGGCGAAGGCAGCCAUCUGGCCUAAUACUGACGCUGAGGUACGAAAGCAUGGGGAGCAAACAGGAUUAGAUACCCCCGUAGUCCCUGUCUCUUAUAC